UACAGAGGUCCCAAGCGUUGUUCGGAUUCAUUGGGCGUAAAGGGCGCGUAGGCGGCAUGCCAAGCGUGUGGUGAAAGCCCGGGGCUCAACCCCGGGUCGGCCGUGCGGACUGGCGUGCUCGAGCACUGUAGGGGCGGGUGGAAUUCCGGGUGUAGCGGUGGAAUGCGUAGAGAUCCGGAAGAACACCGGUGGCGAAGGCAGGUCUCUGGGCAUUAACUGACGCUGAGGAGCGAAAGCAUGGGGAGCGAACAGG
rnacentral:rRNA from 1 species